rnacentral:rRNA from 1 species
CCGAACGCGACCUCAGAUCAGACGAGACGACCCGCUGAAUUUAAGCAUAUUACUAAGCGGAGGAAAAGAAACUAAACCC